GCUCAGCAUUCUUUCCUGUCAUUCCUAACGGAGCCCACAUUUUUGAGUGCCCCCUCCACCUGUGCAACCCAUAUAAUUCAUGAUGGGUUGCUCCAUAAAAAUCUAUAAAAUAAAUAUCAGGAAGAGGUUGUAGCAAACAGAGAAGACCUACGAUGGGAAAAAUUCUCAGCAGUGAUGCAAUUUUAAAGCUACAGUGCUGGGAGACUGUUUCAUGCUCAGAACCUGAAGUUAAGUUUUGACUCCAUCAGUUACGACAUCACUGGCUGCUGCUAUCAGCAUAAUGAUGAUGUCAAGAACGCUGAACUGUGAAAACCAGGAGUGAAGGAGCAUGGAAUAGGGAGUAUUUCAGUAUGAGAAACUCUCUAAAGGAAGAAUUCCAGUGCCCAAAGACCAUUCUCUGGUAAAAAAAAAAAUAAAUAAAUAAAUAAAUAAAUAAAUAAAUAAAUA
rnacentral:lncRNA from 12 species